UACGGAGGGUGCAAGCGUUGUCCGGAUUUAUUGGGCGUAAAGAGCGUGUAGGCGGCCAGAUAGGUCAGCUGUGAAAACUCGAGGCUCAACUUCGAGCUGUCGGUGGAAACUUUCUGGCUAGAGUCCGGAAGAGGAGAAUGGAAUUCCUGGUGUAGCGGUGAAAUGCGCAGAUAUCAGGAAGAACACCAAUGGCGAAGGCAGCUCUCUGGGACGGUACUGACGCUGAGACGCGAAAGCGUGGGGAGCGAACAGG
rnacentral:rRNA from 1 species